AUAACACACAUCACUAGUAAUGUGUCCUUCGCUGCUGUUGCAGUCUCAUUUGCUCACACUAUCAAAGCUCUGGAGCCCUUCUUCAGCGCAGCUGCUACUCAGUUUAUCCUUGGACAGCAAGUUCCCUUCUCUCUGUGGCUUUCUCUUGCCCCUGUGGUCCUUGGUGUUUCAAUGGCAUCCCUUACUGAGCUUUCAUUCAACUGGACUGGCUUCAUCAAUGCCAUGAUAUCAAACAUCUCAUUCACUUACAUGAGCAUUUAUUCCAAGAAAGCUAUGACUGACAUGGAUAGCACCAACGUGUAUGCUUACAUCUGAAUAAUUGCUCUAAUUGUUUGCAUUCCACCUGCAUUGAUCUUUGAAGGGCCCCAGCUAAUGCAGCAUGGAUUUAGUGAUGCCAUUGCAAAAGUAGGUUUGACAAAGUUUGUCAGUGACCUAUUCUUGGUUGGACUGUUCUACCAUCUGUAUAAUCAGAUUGCUACAAACACCUUGGAGCGAGUGGCUCCUCUGACACAUGCUGUCGGGAAUGUGUUGAAACGUGUUUUUGCCAUCGGUUUCUCAAUCAUUGUUUUUGGCAACAAAAUUAGCACACAAACUGGAAUUGGCACGUCCAUUGCCAUAGCUGGUGUUGCUAUGUACUCUUACAUUAAGGCUAAGAUUGAAGAGGAGAAAAGGAAAAAGAGCGCAUGACUGCUGUGAAUAAUAUUAUCGGGACCUUCCUCGGACACAACAUCGUCGACAAUCACGACCUACUUCUAUACCUUGUUUUGUUUUCAUCUUGAGUCAGUCGGUCCAUUGUUUGUUCCCAGUCUGGUGAUUAAAAGUCUGCAAAUUCUGUUUGUGGAAUUGGCAGCGAUACAAAUUUGGCUUCUUUAAGUAAA